GUCCUCGUGGUGUAGUGGCUAUCACAUCUGCUUAACACGCAGAUGGUCCCUGGUUCGAUCCCAGGCGAGGACA
rnacentral:tRNA from 2 species